rnacentral:rRNA from 1 species
GAUGAACGCCGGCGGUGUGCCUAAUACAUGCAAGUCGUACGCACUGGCCCAACUGAUUGAUGGUGCUUGCACCUGAUUGACGAUGGAUCACCAGUGAGUGGCGGACGGGUGAGUAACACGUAGGUAACCUGCCCCGGAGCGGGGGAUAACAUUUGGAAACAGAUGCUAAUACCGCAUAACAACAAAAGCCGCAUGGUUUUUGUUUGAAAGAUGGCUUUGGCUAUCACUCUGGGAUGGACCUGCGGUGCAUUAGCUAGUUGGUAAGGUAACGGCUUACCAAGGCGAUGAUGCAUAGCCGAGUUGAGAGACUGAUCGGCCACAAUGGAACUGAGACACGGUCCAUACUCCUACGGGAGGCAGCAGUAGGGAAUCUUCCACAAUGGGCGCAAGCCUGAUGGAGCAACACCGCGUGAGUGAAGAAGGGUUUCGGCUCGUAAAGCUCUGUUGUUGGAGAAGAACGUGCGUGAGAGUAACUGUUCACGCAGUGACGGUAUCCAACCAGAAAGUCACGGCUAACUACGUGCCAGCAGCCGCGGUAAUACGUAGGUGGCAAGCGUUAUCCGGAUUUAUUGGGCGUAAAGCGAGCGCAGGCGGUUGCUUAGGUCUGAUGUGAAAGCCUUCGGCUUAACCGAAGAAGUGCAUCGGAAACCGGGCGACUUGAGUGCAGAAGAGGACAGUGGAACUCCAUGUGUAGCGGUGGAAUGCGUAGAUAUAUGGAAGAACACCAGUGGCGAAGGCGGCUGUCUGGUCUGCAACUGACGCUGAGGCUCGAAAGCAUGGGUAGCGAACAGGAUUAGAUACCCUGGUAGUCCAUGCCGUAAACGAUGAGUGCUAGGUGUUGGAGGGUUUCCGCCCUUCAGUGCCGGAGCUAACGCAUUAAGCACUCCGCCUGGGGAGUACGACCGCAAGGUUGAAACUCAAAGGAAUUGACGGGGGCCCGCACAAGCGGUGGAGCAUGUGGUUUAAUUCGAAGCUACGCGAAGAACCUUACCAGGUCUUGACAUCUUGCGCUAACCUUAGAGAUAAGGCGUUCCCUUCGGGGACGCAAUGACAGGUGGUGCAUGGUCGUCGUCAGCUCGUGUCGUGAGAUGUUGGGUUAAGUCCCGCAACGAGCGCAACCCUUGUUACUAGUUGCCAGCAUUGAGUUGGGCACUCUAGUGAGACUGCCGGUGACAAACCGGAGGAAGGUGGGGACGACGUCAGAUCAUCAUGCCCCUUAUGACCUGGGCUACACACGUGCUACAAUGGACGGUACAACGAGUCGCAAACUCGCGAGAGUAAGCUAAUCUCUUAAAGCCGUUCUCAGUUCGGACUGUAGGCUGCAACUCGCCUACACGAAGUCGGAAUCGCUAGUAAUCGCGGAUCAGCAUGCCGCGGUGAAUACGUUCCCGGGCCUUGUACACACCGCCCGUCACACCAUGGGAGUUUGUAACGCCCAAAGUCGGUGGCCUAACCUUUAUGGGAGGGUAGCCGC